AUGGCCAAUGCCAUUUUAGGCGGCUCUGCCAUUUUAGCCUGGAAAGUCCCUAUGGAGAAUCCAGGGUGGGGAGGGGCUACAGGGCUAACCACAAAAUUAGCUUAUGUAUCACUGGCUUGCUUGCAUUGGCUAGAUUGUGUCAGGCGUGAAAAAUUCCCACCUAGCUAAAAAUAAAAGCUGCGAGAGGUUUCAACUCGGGGCUGUGCACUUCGAUUGGCCUGCGUAGCCCUGGCUGCCAGAAAUAAACUCUUUUCCUUUUCCUAUCACCUGGUUCUCAUGGGCAAAUUUCUUUUACCCGUUGGACGUUGGCCAUAACAUUUGGGGGCUCGUCCGGGAUCCCUUAAGCCUCUCGAGAACCAUCCUUUUGGCCCUGGGACUUUUUGGAUCUCUAGGGGGGAAUUCCUGAAAAGACGUUCUUCAGCCCCAGAGAGACGAACCCACGGCAGGCACCAUUGAAUUUGGAGCCACCCGGACCCAUCCCUCAACCCGGGGACUUGGUGUACAUAAAGAAGUUAACUGCCUCGUCCCUCCACCACUGGACUGGACCAUACCUGGUGAUCCUCAGCAUACCCACAGAUGUAAAGGCAGCCAGAAAGGACGUUUGGAUACAUUGGACUCACGUCAAACCAGCACCGAACUCAAACCCCAACACCGACUGCUGGAGUGUCCAGACCACCGACCGCCCAACUAAGAUAAGACUAAAGAGACUUUAACAUGCUUUUUAAAAUUCAACCCCUAAGAUAGCAAUGAUUUGCUAUAGCUACAACAACAGGGGGGAAUGUUAAGGGACACCCCAACCCCUGCUGAGGUUAACAUAUGCAUUCUGCUUCUGUACAAAUUGCUUGCUAAAAUAAAGGGGAAUAAACAGAGUAGCAUGGUCAAUGCCAUUUUAGGCAGCUCUGCCAUUUUAGCCUGGAAAGUCCCUAUGGGGAAUCCAGGUUGGGGAGGGGCUACAGGGCUAACAACAAAAUUAGCUUAUGUAUCACUGGCUUGCUUGCUUUGGCUAGAUUGUGUCAGGUGCGAAAAAUUCCCACCUAGCUAAAAAUAAAAGCUGCAAGAGGUUUCAACUCGGGGCUGUGCACUUCGAUUGGCCUGCGUAGCCCUGGCUGCCAGAAAUAAACUCUUUUCCUUUUCGUAUCA